GGCUGGUCCAAAUGCAGUGGUUACAGCUAACUGAUCACAACCAGUUACAGAUUUCUCUGUUUCUUUUCCACUCCUACUGCUUCACUUUGCUAGCCUGGA
rnacentral:Y_RNA from 1 species